rnacentral:rRNA from 1 species
UGGGGAAUAUUGGACAAUGGGCGAAAGCCUGAUCCAGCAAUGCCGCGUGAGUGAUGAAGGCCUUCGGGUCGUAAAGCUCUUUUACCAGGGAUGAUAAUGACAGUACCUGGAGAAUAAGCUCCGGCUAACUCCGUGCCAGCAGCCGCGGUAAUACGGAGGGAGCUAGCGUUGUUCGGAAUUACUGGGCGUAAAGCGCGCGUAGGCGGUUAUUCAAGUCAGAGGUGAAAGCCCGGGGCUCAACCCCGGAACUGCCUUUGAAACUAGAUAGCUAGAAUCUUGGAGAGGUCAGUGGAAUUCCGAGUGUAGAGGUGAAAUUCGUAGAUAUUCGGAAGAACACCAGUGGCGAAGGCGACUGACUGGACAAGUAUUGACGCUGAGGUGCGAAAGCGUGGGGAGCAAACA